rnacentral:rRNA from 1 species
AUUGAACGCUGGCGGAAUGCUUUACACAUGCAAGUCGAACGGCAGCACGGGGGCAACCCUGGUGGCGAGUGGCGAACGGGUGAGUAAUACAUCGGAACGUGCCCAGUCGUGGGGGAUAACGUAGCGAAAGUUACGCUAAUACCGCAUACGAUCUACGGAUGAAAGCGGGGGACCGUAAGGCCUCGCGCGAUUGGAGCGGCCGAUGUCAGAUUAGGUAGUUGGUGAGGUAAAGGCUCACCAAGCCGACGAUCUGUAGCUGGUCUGAGAGGACGAGCAGCCACACUGGGACUGAAACACGGCCCAGACCCCUACGGGAGGCAGCAGUGGGGAAUGUUGGACAAGGGGCGCAAGCCUGGUCCAGCCAUUCCGCGUGCAGGACUAAGGCCUUCGGGUUGUAAACUGCUUUUGUACGGAACGAAAAGGCUCGGGUUAAUACCUGGGGCUCAUGACGGUACCGUAAGAAUAAGCACCGGCUAACUACGUGCCAGCAGCCGCAGUAA